rnacentral:rRNA from 1 species
CCUACGGGUGGCAGCAGUGAGGAAUAUUGCUCAAUGGCCGGAACCCUGAACCAGCCAUGCCGCGUGAAGGCCAGCGUCCUUCUGGCUUUAAACUUCUUUUGUGCGGGAGCAAUAAUGGUCACGUGUGGCCAGACGAGAGUACCGUACGAAUAAGCAUCGGCUAACUCCGUGCCAGCAGCCGCGGUAAUACGGGGGAUGCAAGCGUUAUCCGGAUUUAUUGGGUUUAAAGGGUGCGUAGGCUGUGAGGUAAGUCAGCGGUGAAAUGCCCCCGCUCAACGGGGUGAAGUGCCAUUGAUACUGGCUUGCUGGAAUGCGGAUGCCGUGGGAGGAAGGUGUGGUGUAGCGGUGAAAUGAAUAGAUAUCACACAGAACACCGAUUGCGAAGGCAUCUCACGAAUCCGCGAUUGACGCUGAUGCACGAAAGCGUGGGUAUCAAACAGGAUUAGAUACCCGAGUAGUC